AGUAAUGUAUGGGGAUCUGCCUGAUGGCGGGGGAUAACUACUGGAAACGGUAGCUAAUACCGCAUAACGUCGCAAGACCAAAGAGGGGGACCUUAGGGCCUCUUGCCAUCGGAUGUGCCCAGAUGGGAUUAGCUAGUAGGUGGGGUAAUGGCUCACCUAGGCGACGAUCCCUAGCUGGUCUGAGAGGAUGACCAGCCACACUGGAACUGAGGCACGGUCCAG
rnacentral:rRNA from 1 species